UGAGGAAUAUUGGUCAAUGGGCGGAAGCCUGAACCAGCCAUGCCGCGUGAAGGACUAAGGCCCUAUGAGUCGUAAACUUCUUUAGACGCAGAGCAAUAAGGGUCUCGUGAGAUCCGAUGAGAGUAUGCGUAGAAUAAGCAUCGGCUAACUCCGUGCCAGCAGCCGCGGUAAUACGGGGGAUGCGAGCGUUAUCCGGAUUUAUUGGGUUUAAAGGGUGCGUAGGCGGACUUUCAAGUCAGCGGUAAAAUUUCCGGGCUUAACCUGGUUGUGCCGUUGAAACUGAGAGACUGGAGUGCGCUUGAGGUAGGCGGAAUGCGUUGUGUAGCGGUGAAAUGCAUAGAUAUGACGCAGAACUCCGAUUGCGAAGGCAGCUUACCAAAUCGCUACUGACGCUGAGGCACGAAAGCGUGGGGAU
rnacentral:rRNA from 1 species